UGUUUUUCUCCUGUUGUUGUUUAUCUCCUGUCUGGCAGGUUACUUGAUUGGAUUGCCUGGGGAGCCUGGCCAUUCUUUUGUAGUGAUAAAUACUUAGUUCCUGGGCCAGGUCACAGGCUCACACCCUAUUCAAACACAGACAUACCCUUAAGACAGGAUUUGUGAAGGAAAAGACAAUGGGGAGGCUUUUCCACUUUGACCUUGCAGAGAAAACAUUUGCUCAGUUUAGGAAUCAAAAUGGCUUCAGGUCGGUCUUCCUGUGCUGAUCUAUGUACGUGCGGUUAUGAACAUUACCAUAUAUCUAAGACCUCAAAAUUCCUAUCACAAUA
rnacentral:lncRNA from 1 species